rnacentral:rRNA from 1 species
GACGAACGCUGGCGGCGUGCUUAACACAUGCAAGUCGAACGGAAAGGCCCUGCUUUUGUGGGGUGCUCGAGUGGCGAACGGGUGAGUAACACGUGAGUAACCUGCCCUUGACUUUGGGAUAACUUCAGGAAACUGGGGCUAAUACCGGAUAGGAGCUCCUGCUGCAUGGUGGGGGUUGGAAAGUUUCGGCGGUUGGGGGUGGACUCGCGGCUUAUCAGCUUGUGGGUGGGGUAGUGGCUUACCAAGGCUUUGACGGGUAGCCGGCCUGAGAGGGUGACCGGCCACAUUGGGACUGAGAUACGGCCCAGACUCCUACGGGAGGCAGCAGUGGGGAAUAUUGCACAAUGGGCGGAAGCCUGAUGCAGCAACGCCGCGUGCGGGAUGACGGCCUUCGGGUUGUAAACCGCUUUCGCCUGUGACGAAGCGUGAGUGACGGUAAUGGGUAAAGAAGCACCGGCUAACUACGUG